UACGGAGGGGGCGAGCGUUAUUCGGAAUUAUUGGCGUAAAGGCGCGUAGGCGGCCCGGUAAGUCAAGGUGAAAUCCCUCGGCUCAACUGAGGAACUGCCUUUGAAACUGCUGGGCUUGAGUCCGGGAGGGGGUAGCGGAAUUCCCAGUGUAGGCGGUGAAAUGCGUAGAUAGUGCGGAGGAACACCGAUGGCGAAGGCAGCCCCCUGG
rnacentral:rRNA from 1 species